rnacentral:sRNA from 1 species
AUAUACAUAAGUAAAUAAAUCUUUAAAAAAAAAAAAGAGCCCUCCUGCUUGUAGCCUCUCUUCAUGCUCAGCUCAACACUCCCAAGUGAGCAGAGCCAUUAGCUUUCACUAAUGCUGGCUUCAUCCCACAAUGAUGCGUGUGCUGAAUUACGUUAUGCUUAAUUUGAAUAUUUCUCUGAGCUAUGUGAAGAGAUCUUGUUUUUUUUUUUUUAAUUCUAAUAAAGACAUCUGGCUCAUAUAGCACCUAUCCCUAAAGAUAAUGAGAAUGGUCGUCUCUGUUAGGUGUUUUUGUUUUUUUGUUUUUUUGGUUUUUUUUUUGUGUGUGUGUGUGUGUGUGUUAGCUUAGUGUGAGCCUCUGCCACCUGAGAGUCUGCACUCACACCCAACCCUGCCUGGGGCCCAACAAUACCAGGUGGAGUCUUGUCUUUCUCCUGUUCCUGAAGCUGCACUAGACACUGUCAACCAAGAAGAGGCCUGUUUGCUGCCUUCGGAAAAGAACAGAAGUUUUCAAGAAGAAUAUGGCUUCAAACAUUGGAUUCUGGCAUUAACUAGGCGCACCUCCUUGGUCGCCUUUCUAAAGCCAUAGCCACAGUGCUAGUGCCCGACGGGUGGCUUGUCUUCUGCGCGUCUGUUCUUUGGGAAUUAAUGACAGCCUUCCUUUCCAGGUGGCCAGUGACUGGUUGUCUUUGUAGAAUCUGGACAGUGACCAGGCUGACACCUUCUUGUGACCUGGACGAUAGGCUGGGCUGUUGUUGCUGGACUUGACUCCAGCCAGUUCUCUCCAGCCAGGAUGCUGGGAACAAGCAUCUAGCAUCUCCUUGGCUAGUAUCUCUCUCAUAGGCCUUGGAUACCUUUGCCCAGCAUGGGGUAGCUGUGCUAGGGUGGCCUUAGGUACAAACAGCUUUAUUCUGAAGUCAUCUAAGGAGCCUACAAUGAAGAUUUUCCGUGGG